AGCAGUAGCCGCGGGAAUACGUAGGUGGCAAGCGUUGUCCGGAUUUAUUGGGCGUAAAGCGCGCGCAGGCGGAUCAGUUAGUCUGUCUUAAAAGUUCGGGGCUUAACCCCGUGAUGGGAUGGAAACUGCUGAUCUAGAGUAUCGGAGAGGAAAGUGGAAUUCCUAGUGUAGCGGUGAAAUGCGUAGAUAUUAGGAAGAACACCAGUGGCGAAGGCGACUUUCUGGACGAAAACUGACGCUGAGGCGCGAAAGCCAGGGGAGCGAACGGGAUUAGAUACCCCCGUAGUCCCUGUCUCUUAUACA
rnacentral:rRNA from 1 species